AAUUUUUUUCUGUUUUCUCUAGAUGAAAAUCGUGGGUAUUGUAUUGCUCGUUGCGUGUUUUCUUCAUAUAAACAUUCCCGCCUCCAGCGCAAUGACUAGAUCGGAGGAAUGCGGGAAUAUUUGCCAUGGUCGUGCGCGGACGUGUAUUCAUAGUAUUCGUUGCAGUUCAGACACAUUAGCAUGUUUGCAGAGAAUGAAGGGAUGCAAGCAAUAUGCAAAAACGUGUUUUAACAAUUGCAUGAGGGGAAUAAGCGUAUAGAACCAUAUGGAACGCUUCACUAUUUUAAUGGAUUUUCCGCCAUUAACUCAUUAAAAUAUUUUAAAUAAAAAUUAUCUAUGUGAAAAUACAUUUAAUUUAUUUAUUUAUCACCGGUAAUUGAAGCCGUGAUUUGUGGGAUUUAUAUUGUGGAACUCAUAUAUCAUUCUAGUUAAAAAUAUUAUUGCCCAGCAAAUAAUUCG